AGCCAGCCUGUAGAAACGUCAUGGUAACCAAGACGCUUGAAGACGCUUGAAGACGCUUGCUAAUACGGGAAAUCCUAGUACUCUACGAUCACGUGGCUCUAAGGCCCCCGUGUUUCUCCGCCGUCAAGUGACCUCGAAGGGUGUGGAGAGGCGGAAAUUAGCACUUCCUUAAAAAGAAGGAAGCGAAGACGAUAUCAUCAGAGGAUGAUUUUGAUCCUGAUACAACUAUUUCGAAGUGGAGUUACCCACGGAAUCAGUCGGUGUGCUCACACAUUGUAGUACCAAGUGGAAACCGGAAGUAACAGACGAAUACACAGGCGCAUAAUCACCCGAUAUCACCGGAAAUAGUGGGGACCUCCAUAUUUUCACUCAAUCAAGCGAUGUAAGGAAGCAAGUGUGUUUGAUGUUGACAGAAUUUGUUAGUUUGUAAACUUCAUUAGUGUCCAGCAAAAACGAGGGCUCUGAAAGGGUGUCGUUACUUAUUUUUGAAUAUCAAAAUACAGUACUUUAAUUCAGACAUGAAGAAUCAAGAGAUAUCAUAAAAUUAGAAAACAAACAUCAAAGUCUAAUAAUACAGAAACCUCAAGUUCACACGUCAUUAGUGAAUCUUAAAGUGUUAAGAUUUUAAACAGUAUAAUCACAUAGUGUAGCAAUGGUGACGAAGUUUCAAGCUUUAAUAAUAAAGUGUUUAGAUGGGAAGUGGACAUUUAAUCUCAAUAACUUUAGAAAUAAAUGUGACAAUCAUUUGUGGAAAUCUACUACUAUACACUAAUUAUCGAGAAAAAUUCGAAGAAGCUGACUGUGGUCCUGAGAUGAAGAAAACAUGACAGAUGACCUCGACUCUGAUCUGGAAUUUUCCUCACGGUCGAAGGACAAAAAUUCAUCAGUGACGAUGCUGUCACGAACUGACAUAACAGUUGAAGAAGAUGCCCUAAAUCACAGGAGCAGUAGAGCUCUCAAGAAAGAAUUACAGUUGCAUGAAGCUGUCAUUAAAAAUGACGCCGACGCUGUGAGACGCGUCCUGAAGGAACCACUGGACAUCAAUUCUCGCAACAAUGCUAGAAAAUGGAGUUCAGAGGAAUGGUCUAUCGUGAGAUCCAUUUGGUAUGGGCGUGCACCGAUACACUGGGCUUCGUCUCGGGGUAACACGGACAUCGUAGAAAUGCUCAUCGCCGCGAAAUGCGACAUCGAAGCAAAAGACAAGUACGGCAUGAGACCCAUUCUAAUGGCGGCGUGGCAUGGUCACAAGGACGCCGUACAGAUGCUCAUCAACUGCGGAGCCAACGUCCUUGCCGUAAACAAGAAACACCACACGCUCUUGAUGUGCGGGUCCCGUAACAACCGUUUGGAUGUCGUGGAUUUCCUACUGGACACGCUGGAAGACAUCAAGGUUGAUGCUGUGGACCUGGAGCAGCAAACGGCCCUCUAUCACGCAGCGCUGGGGGGUCACGUCGGGAUUGUACGACGUCUCGUGGAAGCGGGGGCAAAGACGGAAUCGAGAAACAAGCUGGGAAGGACACCUUUGCACGCAGCAUGUGAAAAGGGUCACGUGGAAGUGGUUGAGUUCCUGCUCCACAACGACGUUGACCUAGACGCACGUGACGAGGACGGGGACAGCCCUCUACACACAGCUGCAGAAAACCAGCAGACCCACGUCGUACAGCUUCUCCUGGAAAGCGGCAGCCAGCCAGACACGGAGAGUUCCAAAGGAUUCACGCCUCUGCACGUGGCUAGCAGUAAGGGCUGCAGAGGUAUCAUUGAAGCUCUUGUACAGCACGGAGCCUCCGUCAACCACCAAAGCAAAAACGGCAACACACCUCUUCACGUGGCGUGCCAAGCGAACGAGACUCAAUCAGCUGAGCUCCUCAUUUCAAAAGGGGCAGACCUCAACGCGCUCAAUGUGAGACUUCAGUCGCCAAUUCACAUCGCAGCUGAGCAGGGCUACACCGACAUCUGCAAGCUGCUACUGGCUGCUGGAGCCAACAUCAACCAGAAAGAGCAGGGUGGGAAGACUCCCUUGUACAUCGCGGCCCGGGGUAGUUUUACCGCAAUAGUUGACAUGAUCAUCAAGACCGCUCGGUUAGACUACCCUGCACCUGUACGUAGUGGGCAAGACGAGGGCGUGGUCAUCACCGCUGCAUGCCGGAUACCAGCACACCCCAACACCACCCAACACUACCAACACUACCAACACACCCCAGGAUCACGUGUGGAAGACGAAGACGGGACAGAAAACAACCUGAAUGUACUCAAUACGGCACGUCGGAAAUGGCGUCACAGUGAAUCGCGUGGUUCAACAUCAGGGACGACGCAACAUGACGCAAAUGAGCGCUUGAGGGAACUUCUGUUUCGGGUGGCCUACAAACAACUGGCAGAUGGAGACUGGAAGAAUCUUGCACACCACUGGGCCUUCACGGCAGAGCAGAUCAGGGCUAUAGAGCAUCAGUACACAGGUCCGUACAGUUACAAGGAACACGGUUUCCGGAUGCUGCUAAUCUGGGUACACGGCUUGGGGCCUGAAGUCAACCCUGUAAAAGAACUCUACGAAAGCCUGGCAUCUAUUGGCAAGAAAGGGGUUGCUGGUACGUGACUCAGCACUCGGUCUCAUGUUAUCAACAACCAACGUUUCUUCGGUCAAAUGAGAUGCACUGCGGAAGAAACUGGAUGAAGAAAAUCAAGGAAAGUACAAGGGGAAAAGACGAUGCAAUGCUUGCAGUAUCACUUAGCCCCAUCCACACACCCUUGCCGCCGGACUUCACCUCGUACUGAAUUACCAAAUCUAACUUGAGAAGUGCAAAGGGUGCACCUCACAGCUCAUUCUUGGAUGGAACUGCAUUGCGCUCGGUCCACAGAAAUGUGCUCCGUGUACUCGAGCACAAAUUUAUAAUGCGUGUAUUUCUAUGUCCAGUCUUACUGUCCAUUGAACAUAUCAAUAAUUACAUUAUGCCAGAAAAUAGAAAUUCUUUCAUUCCAGCACAAUGUAUCACUUAUAUAAGAUACAUUUUAUACUUCAAUUAUUUGUAUAAAGCGUCUUAUUUGAGAUCACGCUUUUAUGAAAGAGAGCCGUCUUCCUUAGCCAAAUGUGUCGAUGUUUGUACCACUUACUUGCAGGAAAUAUACAAAUGGCGAAACAAUAAAAAUUCUUCUUGACGAUACAUACACUGAAAAUAAUAAAAAAAUUCCAACAACUAUAAAAUGUAAA